rnacentral:lncRNA from 1 species
CGCUGGACUUCAACCAUUCCGCACAGAAGCCUGCAUUGCUCUCUGUGCCUGAGCCCCGCGUCAAUCAACUGAGCAGCCCUCUCUCCCUGCCCACGGUCCCCUUCAUACCCCUGGAGAGUAGAAGAUGGAUGGGCCCGACUGAGGUCCUGCUAUUUCAAAAGAAGAUAUUUUAAAAUGUUUGUGCUCGACCCAGAGAACACUGCAAGGCUUCAUCCCGAGCACAGCAGAUGCUCAUGAAAUGUGUGCUCAAUGCCUCAUCAGUUGCUCAGUCCUGAGUUCAAGUUCCUACUCUAACGACUGGAAGGAUUUGGACAGGUGGCUUAGCUUCUCUUAGCCUUCAUUUCAUCACAUCAGGAGGUUAAAUGAUCUGAGUAUAAAUAUUUUAUCCUAGUACCUGGCACAAAGUAGGCCUUCCAUUAAUGGAAGCUAUAGAACAUUCACUCCGUCCUGUGACUUGCUGAAAUGGGUGACAGAUGCAGGGAUGAAGAUGCCAGACGCUGCUCUGGAGGAGCUCCUGGUUCAACGUCAGAGACCAGUGUGUGAAUGAAUGAUGACACUCUGGGGCAAUGGGUUUUGAUGGGGAGAGGUGGGGCCACACUCCUGGAAAUCACUCCUCUCUGGACCUAGGAAGGCUGUGCCAGAGCUGAGGGGGGGAGGUGGAGGAGGCAGUUGCACGCUUGCUGAAAAGCAUGCGUAGAUCCGCCAGGGCUGAGCAAACCCUGUAUCUGAACAUUAGAAGCAGGAGGAAAAACAUGAGAAAAACAAGUGUUCUGUGAACUUCAUGCAAAAGUUUUGUAUGU